rnacentral:rRNA from 1 species
CCUACGGGAGGCAGCAGUGAGGAAUAUUGGUCAAUGGACGAGAGUCUGAACCAGUCAAGUAGCGUGAAGGAUGACUGCCCUAUGGGUUGUAAACUUCUUUUAUAAAGGAAUAAAACGAGGCACGUGUGCCUUUUUGCAUGUACUUUAUGAAUAAGGAUCGGCUAACUCCGUGCCAGCAGCCGCGGUAAUACGGAGGAUCCGAGCGUUAUCCGGAUUUAUUUGGUUUAAAGGGAGCGUAGAUGGGUUGUUAAGUCAGUUGUGAAAGUUUGCGGCUCAACCGUAAAAUUGCAAUUGAUACUGGCAGUCUUGAGUACAGUUGAGGUAGGCGGAAUUCGUGGUGUAGCGGUGAAAUGCUUAGAUAUCACGAAGAACCCCGAUUGCGAAGGCAGCUUACUAAACUGUGACUGACAUUGAUGCUCGAAAGUGUGGGUAUCAAACAGGAUUAGAUACCCCGGUAGUC